CAGGUAUUUUCACACACAGAUGCCGCUGCAAGCCUGUGCCACUUUUGGUACACUCUGAGCAUAUUCCUCUUACCUGAGGGAUACAGUAGUGAUAAGGAAAAAUCCCAUUAUGAGAGGUAGUCCAGGCAGUCUACAAGCCGCUACAAACAUUAUAGAGACUUUAUGGUCCCACCAGGAGAUGGUGAGGAAGCUAAUGACUGCAUGGAUUCGGUUCAUUUCAGGACAAACAGGUGGUGAAAACAGUAAAGACUCAGCAGAUGUUCAUUUGUAAACUAUGAUAGGACCAGAGUCACAGACUAAAAUAGGACGGAAGCUUACCCAGGCUGUUUUUAUUCCUCUAUUACUUUUUUUGAAUGAGGUUUGGAUCUGAGUGAUUCACAAAAAAGAAGGCCAUAAAUGGAGUAGAUUGAUAUAUAAGAACACUGAACACAACUACUACAUUUGGGAAAAAUGAAGUGAAUAAAUGACUGCAUAAAGAAAUGUAUAAAACAACUGAAUAUUGCUGAAUCUAAAAGCAAACUAAGUACAUGAAGAUGAAACUGGAACAAGUAAAACAUACUGUCAAAUAAGAAAUUAACUGCAAAGAUGAAUCAAUGAAAAUAUUAAAAUAACCAGUUAUAUCGUCUGUAACUUAGCUACUGAACAAGGUCUUCACUAAUAUGCAAGCACAUGGAAUAUCUGAGAAUAAAGUAUCAAACAUAAAUUGAAAGUAUUUCUCAGCCGAAAUGUCCACGUGUAUGGAAACCCUUAGGGGCCAUUUUCACAAGGUAACAUGUUAACAAGUCAUUUUCUCUACAUGUCAAAGUUGAGCAUGACUCAUUUCCUGAGUUACAAAACCACAAAACAAUCUGUAACCUAGGCUCAGUUUACUUUAUGAGUGCUGGCAGUUGCAGCAUGGCAUGAUCUUGACUAAGCGCAGACAGUUGGUUGCAGUUGUUGUUUUUUUUUCCUGAUUCACAAGAAAAUUAUGAAGUUUUCUUGAACGAACAAGCGUACAAGACUGGUAACAAUCUAUUUAAAGAUCUGUUGUUAUUUGGAGCUCUGUUAACCUGGUUGUUGUUACUGAAAAGGAUGUAUAGGGGAGAGUGGGGUUAGAUGAACCAGUUUUCAUAUUUCAGAUCACCACAUCAAGGCAAUCAUAGUUUUGUCUCUUAACUAGUGUAUCUGCAUAUAUUUCAAGAUGUUAUGCAUCCCUGCAAACCAACAGAAUGAAUGUAAACAUAACUGUCUUGAUAAUAUAGCAUGCCAAAAUAUAGCGUGGUCUCCUAUGGUCAACUUGCCCCGUGUAUGGGGUAAGUUGACCAUAGGAGUGAGGUAAAUUGAGCCAUAUAACUGCUAAAAAGCUGUUUUGUAAAAAGUCAUUUUAACAUGAGAAUGUCUUUAAGUGAUUCAGAACAUUCACAGCUGUAUUUUUGGAAAGAAAAAGUAACACAUUUCAACAAUCUGAACUGAAACUCUCAUCCUCUUAUCAGACUCCUUUACUUUCUCAGUUGAGCUCAACUUACCCCAGAACUACUACUAUGACUUUAUUAGUCCUCUUAGUUAUAAUGGUGGACUUAAAUGUUAGAUACAUAGACUCAUAGAUACCACAAUUGAUGUUUAAAACUAAUUUAAAAUGAUCUUUUUUGGUCUGAACACAAUUCUAAUAAAACUUACGACAGACUAAAUUCACUUUCAAGAGUAAAAAUGUUUUCUUUUUUUAAAUAAAU